AGAGUUUGAUCAUGGCUCAGGACGAACGCUGGCGGCGUGCUUAAUACAUGCAAGUCGAGCGAGGUUACUGUUUCGGAUCCCUUCGGGGUGAAGAAGCUUUAACCUAGCGGCGGACGGGUGAGUAACGCGUGUGUAACCUACCCCAAAGUCCGGGAUAACAGCGGGAAACCGCUGCUAAUACCGGAUGCCUUUACCUUGGGGCAUCUUGAGGUAAAGAAAGGUAACGCUUUGGGAUGGGCCCGCGUCCCAUUAGCUAGUUGGUGAGGUAACGGCUCACCAAGGCGACGAUGGGUAGCCGGCCUGAGAGGGUGGACGGCCACACUGGGACUGAGACACGGCCCAGACUCCUACGGGAGGCAGCAGUAGGGAAUAUUGCGCAAUGGACGGAAGUCUGACGCAGCGACGCCGCGUGAGCGAUGAAGGUCUUCGGAUCGUAAAGCUCUGUCCUUGGGGAAGAAGGCGAAAGCUUGACGGUACCCAAGAAGAAAGCCCCGGCUAACUACGUGCCAGCAGCCGCGGUAAU
rnacentral:rRNA from 1 species